rnacentral:rRNA from 1 species
UACGUAGGGUGCAAGCGUUAAUCGGAAUUACUGGGCGUAAAGCGUGCGCAGGCGGUUUUGUAAGUCUGUCGUGAAAGCCCCGGGCUCAACCUGGGAAUUGCGAUGGAGACUGCAAGGCUUGAAUCUGGCAGAGGGGGGUAGAAUUCCACGUGUAGCAGUGAAAUGCGUAGAGAUGUGGAGGAACACCGAUGGUGAAGGCAACCCCCUGGGUCAAGAUUGACGCUCAUGCACGAAAGCGUGGGGAGCAAACAGG